GACGAACGCUGGCGGCGUGCCUAACACAUGCAAGUCGAACGAGGUCCAUCUGGUGGCAACACCAGUGAAGACCUAGUGGCGAACGGGUGAGUAACACGUGAGAAACCUGCCCCGAAGACCGGGAUAACUCUCCGAAAGGAGAGCUAAUACCGGAUGCCCCCACCUGGCCGCAUGACCGGGUGAGGAAAUGGAUUCCGCUUCGGGAGGGUCUCGCGGCCUAUCAGCUUGUUGGCGGGGUAACGGCCCACCAAGGCAUCGACGGGUAGCUGGUCUGAGAGGACGAUCAGCCACACUGGGACUGAGACACGGCCCAGACUCCUACGGGAGGCAGCAGUGGGGAAUCUUGCGCAAUGGGCGAAAGCCUGACGCAGCAACGCCGCGUGGGGGAUGAAGGCUCUCGGGUUGUAAACCCCUUUCAGCAGGGACGAAUCAAGACGGUACCUGCAGAAGAAGCCCCGGCUAACUACGUG
rnacentral:rRNA from 1 species